rnacentral:rRNA from 1 species
UACGUAGGGUGCGAGCGUUAAUCGGAAUUACUGGGCGUGAAGCGUGCGCAGGCGGUUUUGUAAGCCAGAUGUGAAAUCCCCGGGCUUAACCUGGGAAUGGCAUUUGGGACUGCAAGGCUGGAGUGCGGCAGAGGAGACUGGAAUUCCUGGUGUAGCAGUGAAAUGCGUAGAUAUCAUGAGGAAGGCCAGUGGCGAAGGCGGGUCUCUGGACAGUUACUGACGCUGAGGCACGAAGGCCAGGGGAGCAAACGGG